CUAAUAGUUACAGGUCAGGCUCUGUGUAGUGGGCACAGACAUCACUCAGGGCGAAGGCUCUGGGGCAGUCGAGGCAGAGGCGCAGGAGCCCGGGUGUGGAGACACAAGGUGGCCGGCUGGGGGAAUGGUCCCCGACACCCAGUGCCAGAAGAGGGCAGACCUGGAGGAGCCCGCGGCCGGUGACGGGCCAGGGGUGUCUCUGUCACCUCAGUGACACCUGUCCUGCAUGAGGCGCAGGAUCUAAGACCUGAGCAAGCCUCUUCCCUUCUGUGAACCUCAGUUUCCCCACCAGUAAAGCAGGGUCACCCCCUCCUCAGCUCGGGACAACCUGGGCUGUGGAGUCAAUGGAGUGAGCUCCUCAAUCUCUCUUGGGUUUUGUUUUUCAUCAUCUGUUAACAGUUCCGAGCUGGAGUCCCUGCAUCAAGCCGUUCCUGAAGCCAGCGUCCUUGAAUAUGUUUCCUUCAGCUAUGAGAGCCAGCUCCCCUGCUUUUCACUAAGGUCAGUUUGAUUUGGGUUUCUCCACCUUUCGAGCUGAGGACCUACAGCGCUUCCUUAGUAGCUGGGAUGAGGAGCCGAGGGGCUUCAGAAAAGACCAAACCUCUGGGUCUCGGGCCUUUUUCAGUGCCAUUAGCAGAAAGCAACACGCACGCGCCAUCUCUCCCACCUGGGCCCGGGAGCGGUGCCCACCUACUGCGAGAUUCCCCCCCCCCGGCCACUGGCUCAAGACCGAUCGGCACGGUCCAUCUGAGCAGCACCCACCGUGCGCUGGCCCAGCGCUGGACAAAGGAGGCAUCGAUGUCACCCGGGGCUCACGGAGACCCAGCAGAAAGCCCUGGCCACGCCCGGAACACCCGGCCCUGCUCUCCACCCAGGCAACUCCUGUUGGCCAGCACUCCCCAGACCAGCGCCACCUCCUCUAAGACGCCUCCUCUGCCUCCCCUCCCCCAGGCGGUUCUGGGGGCUUCUGUCUUUCCUUGCGUUCAAGACGCACCAGGAUCCGAAGCAUCAACCACAAGGAACGAACAACACCCCGAUUACACCACCGUAACACGAGACUUUGUUCAGGUGGGGAAACUGAGGCCCAGAGAGGCAAAGCACAGAAACAGGGACAGCACCAGCACCAGCACCAGGGUUCAGGCUCUGGACAUGUGGGACAAGAAUUCACCUUCCAGGGCUUCCCAGGGUGAUGGCCCGGACUCCUCAGCCAGAGCCCUGGUGGCCACGGGGAUAAGCAGCUGCCCCGCGGGGCUGAAACGUAGCCAGCGAUGCUCCUGCGAGGGGAGGCCCCGCGUCACGCGUGGGCGGCAGAGCCGGAACUCGGGGCACAGCUAUUUCUGGAGGCCGAGGCGAGAAAGUGGGGGCGGCGGAAGAGCCUCACAGGAACGGGGAGGCUGGGGGCCCCGGCGGGGGGCUCAGGGCCUGGUGUCCUCUGUGGGAAUGGAGAGCCGGGUGCAGAACCCCGAGCCCCUGUGGGCGCCAGAGGAGGAGCCAGGCAGGGAUGCUGUCCCCAACAGGCGACAAGACGCCCGGACAGACUGGCCGGGCCCUGGGGCAAAGCCAAGCUAGGACCUGGAAAUGUGGAGCCGGGUGGACGGCUGGGCUGCAGAUUUAAAUACGGUCAGAAUCAUGGCCUGGAGAAGCCGGGGUGUGUGUGNNNNNNNNNNNNNNNNNNNNNNNNNNNNNNNNNNNNNNNNNNNNNNNNNNNNNNNNNNNNNNNNNNNNNNNNNNNNNNNNNNNNNNNNNNNNNNNNNNNNUGUGUGUGUGUGUGUGUGUCUGUGUGUGUGUGUGUGUGUGUGGCACUUGUGUGAUUCCAGCACUCGGAAGCAGGAAGAUCAGCACGAGGCCAAGGCCAACCUGAGUUACACAGUGAGACCCUGCCUGUCUCAAAAAAAAGAAAAGAAAAAGACCUGGAGAAGGGCAAGGAGGGAGUUGUGUCCACAUCGGCAUUGCAGAUCAAUCAAACAACCUGUGCAAAGGCCCUGGGGCGGCAUAGAGCCUGGCAUGGUGCAUGGGCAAUAAGGAUCCCAUGUGGCUGGAGCAGAGAGCACAAGAGGGAGGGAGGGAAGAGAGGUGGGGAGGGGAUGGGUGGGCUGUGCAGGCCCCCAUGGGCUGCCGGGAGGACUUGGGCUUUGGCCCCAGGGAGGUGGGAGCCCUAGAAGGCUCUGUGUGGCAGGGACGCACUGCUUGCUCUCGAGUCCCUGCUGCAGGAGGUGGAUGGUCCAGGAGCCAGACCUGAUGGUGAGGCAGAGCCAAAGGCAGUGACCAGCAGGGAGAGGGAGGAGGCUCCUGAGAGCAAACAGCCACAUCUCCGAGAGCACUGUGUCCUGGGGUUCAUGUGUGACCACCCUGAAGACCAAGUUGGCCUGCAAGUGCCAGAAAAGGCACAGAAGAGGAGCCCCCAGGUAACCCCGCAGGGCUAUUUUGCCCCUAUCAGCAGGGCCCAGGCUCUUUAUAUCUCCUUCAUUCUCCAGUGUUAGCCAUAACGCCUGCCUCAGGGUCCAAUACAGCUGCCUGAGCAACUGCCAUCACCUCCACAUUCCCGGUGGGAGGUGAAAGAACCAUGCACCACCUCUCUUUAAAGACAUUUCCAGGAAAUCCUGUUCAUUUAUUCCAGAAUGAUUCAGAUGGUGCCGACAGCUGCAAAGGAUACCAGGAAAUGUCUUCCUUCCUCUCCCUGGUGACCAUGUGUCCAGAUAAAAAUUGUAGAGUCCAAUUGUUAUAGAGCAUGGGACAUGAAGGGCUGUUGGGAGACCCCACCAGAAACGGGUGACCUCGGGGCCACAUCUUAGAUUUCAAGCCAGCACAUCUGAGAAACUCUGCCCCAACUGUGACGGCUUUCACGGAUCCCCAGGGUGCAGGCCUGGCUCAGCUAAGCCCAAGGUUCAGGUCAGUGCCCACAGGCUGGGCCCCCUGCAGCCCCCUAUCCUGCCUCACCCCUGCCUGUCGAGGACCCAGGGCAAUUCAUCUCCUUCUCCUCCAUAAACAACUGUCAGGGAAAAUAAAUAGUUUUUAAUAGGCUCAUUAAUUGAAUUCAGGAAGAAAUCUCCUCUCCCCAGCUGAGCGGGAGGAACUGGGCAGAGAUGGAGAAUCUUAAUGGCCAGAGGCAGCGGGCACCCCAGGCCCCUCUGCCCACCGUGCUGUGCCCCAGCCCCGCCAGUUCUGUCCCGGCUGCGAAGGGCCACAGCCUUACACUGGGCAGCAGGGAUGGAAAAGGAUUUAAUAUCAUUCUUUUUUCUUGCAAUACUGGGGGUGGAACUGAGGGCCUCUGCAUUGAGCUCCAUCUUGACCCUUCUUAUUUUUUAUUUUAGACAAGUAUCCUUAAAUUGUCCAGCCUGGACUAGAACUUGAGAUCCUCCCGUCUCAGCCUCCCAAGUGCUCAGAUGACAGGCCUGCACCACUGCACCCAGCUGAAAUCUGUGUUCUUUUUCUUUUUUUUUUUGGUACUGGGGAUCAAACUCAGGAUCUUGCACUUAUCUGUGUUGAGGGUCAAAUUCAACCUUGAGAAAGACCAGCUGGUUCUGGCUGAGUCUUCCACUUGUCUCACUCUGCACUGAGCUCUUUCUGGGGUCCCAGCCCCUCUGGGCUCCCCCAGAGGCCAGAAAUGGCACGGGCCGACUCUGGGCCCCUCACCUCCAGCACCUGUCCACAGGCCCGCCCCCCCCGGCUUGUGUGCUCCCCAUUCCGUCCAUCGUGGCUCUGCACACAG
rnacentral:lncRNA from 1 species